rnacentral:rRNA from 1 species
AGAGCGAACGCUGGCGGCAGGCCUAACACAUGCAAGUCGAGCGCCCGUAGCAAUACGGGAGCGGCAGACGGGAUAGUAACACGUGGGAACGCGCCCUUCGGUUCGGAAUAACUCAGGGAAACUUGAGCUAAUACCGGAUACGCCCUUACGGGGAAAGAUUUAUUGCCGAAGGAACGGCCCGCGUCCGAUUAGCUAGUUGGUGAGGUAAUGGCUCACCAAGGCGACGAUCGGUAGCUGGUCUGAGAGGAUGACCAGCAUCACUGGGACUGAGACACGGCCCAGACUCCUACGGGAGGCAGCAGUGGGGAAUAUUGGACAAUGGGCGCAAGCCUGAUCCAGCCAUGCUGCGUGGAUGAUGAAGGCCUUAGGGUUGUAAAGUCCUUUUAACGGGGAAGAUAAUGACGGUACCCGUAGAAUAAGCCCGGCUAACUUCGCGCCAGCAGCCGC